ACGGAAUAAGCAGUUCAUUUUAGGAAAAGGAGAAUGUCAGGUAACGGCGAAUUUUGGCCUAAAAGUACAUCUGAUGAAAGAUUUUUCAAAUUUUUUAAAGACAGAAUUAUCUACUUCAAACGAUUCAAUUAGUGUAUUUAAAAGAUUUGAACUUAUUUGAUCAUUAAAGACGCUCUUUUCCAAACUUCCAUUGUAGACAACAACA
rnacentral:lncRNA from 1 species